rnacentral:rRNA from 1 species
GAUGAACGCUGGCGGCGUGCCUAAUACAUGCAAGUCGAGCGAAUGGAUUAAGAGCUUGCUCUUAUGAAGUUAGCGGCGGACGGGUGAGUAACACGUGGGUAACCUGCCCAUAAGACUGGGAUAACUCCGGGAAACCGGGGCUAAUACCGGAUAACAUUUUGAACCGCAUGAUUCGAAAUUGAAAGGCGGCUUCGGCUGUCACUUAUGGAUGGACCCGCGUCGCAUUAGCUAGUUGGUGAGGUAACGGCUCACCAAGGCAACGAUGCGUAGCCGACCUGAGAGGGUGAUCGGCCACACUGGGACUGAGACACGGCCCAGACUCCUACGGGAGGCAGCAGUAGGGAAUCUUCCGCAAUGGACGAGAGUCUGACGGAGCAACGCCGCGUGAGUGAUGAAGGCUUUCGGGUCGUAAAACUCUGUUGUUAGGGAAGAACAAGUGCUGGUUGAAUAAGCUGGCACCUUGACGGUACCUAACCAGAAAGCCACGGCUAACUACGUGCCAGCCGCCGCCGUAA